rnacentral:rRNA from 1 species
GAAUAUUGGACAAUGGGCGCAAGCCUGAUCCAGCCAUGCCGCGUGAGUGAAGAAGGCCUUAGGGUUGUAAAACUCUUUCGCCGGAGAAGAUAAUGACGGUAUCCGGAGAAGAAGCCCCGGCUAACUUCGUGCCAGCAGCCGCGGUAAUACGAAGGGGGCUAGCGUUGUUCGGAAUUACUGGGCGUAAAGCGUACGUAGGCGGAUUUGUAAGUAGGGGGUGAAAUCCCCAGGCUCAACCUGGGAACUGCCUUCUAGACUGCAAGUCUUGAGAUCAGGAGAGGCGAGUGGAAUUCCGAGUGUAGAGGUGAAAUUCGUAGAUAUUCGGAGGAACACCAGUGGCGAAGGCGACUCGCUGGACUGAUACUGACGCUGAGGUACGAAAGCGUGGGGAGCAAACAG